GUCCCAGUGUGUCUCACGUGCUUGCAGGAGUCUUAGCACUACCUAUUGGCCUGUGAACAUUGUAUUGAAAGAGAUAUAAAGUGAACAUAAGUACAUAUAUUAUAACACUGAAUAAGGGAAAUAUACGGUGUAACAGGUUGUCUCAAAUUGCAUU